rnacentral:rRNA from 1 species
CAGACCUNUAAUCGGAAAAGACUACCCGCUGAGUUUAAGCAUAUCACUAAGCGGAGGAGAAGAAACUAACCAG